rnacentral:rRNA from 1 species
CCUACGGGGAGCUGCAGUGGGGAAUAUUGGACAAUGGGCGAAAGCCUGAUCCAGCCAUGCCGCGUGUGUGAAGAAGGCCUUCGGGUUGUAAAGCACUUUCAGUGGGGAAGAAAGCCUUGGGGCUAAUACCCUCGAGGAAGGACAUCACCCACAGAAGAAGCACCGGCUAACUCCGUGCCAGCAGCCGCGGUAAUACGGAGGGUGCGAGCGUUAAUCGGAAUUACUGGGCGUAAAGCGCGCGUAGGCGGUCUGAUAAGCCGGUUGUGAAAGCCCCGGGCUCAACCUGGGAACGGCAUCCGGAACUGUCAGGCUAGAGUGCAGGAGAGGAAGGUAGAAUUCCCGGUGGAGCGGUGAAAUGCGUAGAGAUCGGGAGGAAUACCAGUGGCGAAGGCGGCCUUCUGGACUGACACUGACGCUGAGGUGCGAAAGCGUGGGUAGCAAACAGGAUUAGAUACCCUGGUAGUC